AUUGGAGAGGCAGAACAGGCUUGCUUGGUCCCGAAACGUGAAUUACGUUUAACACAAAAUGGCCAGCCGAACGAGAGCGUGCGACGUACAACAGUAUUGUGUCCGCAUGUACUCU